rnacentral:rRNA from 1 species
GACGAACGCUGGCGGCGUGCCUAACACAUGCAAGUGGAGCGACGAACCGGGCUUCGGCCCGGGGCAAAGCCGCGAACGGGUGAGUAACACGUGGGUAACCUGCCCUGAUGAUCGGGACAACCCGAGGAAACUCGGGCUAAUACCGAAUGUGCCCUCCGGCCUCAAGGCCUCUGGGGAAAGGAAGCUUCGGCCUCCGCAUCGGGAUGGGCCCGCGGCCCAUUAGCUUGUUGGCGAGGUAAUGGCUCACCAAGGCAACGAUGGGUAGCUGGUCUGAGAGGACGAUCAGCCACACUGGGACUGAGACACGGCCCAGACUCCUACGGGAGGCAGCAGUGGGGAAUCUUGCGCAAUGCGCGAAAGCGCGACGUAGCAACGCCGC